rnacentral:rRNA from 1 species
CCUACGGGAGGCAGCAGUGAGGAAUAUUUGUCAAUGGGCGCUAGCCUGAACCAGCCAAGUAGCGUGAAGGAUGACUGCCCUAUGGGUUGUAAACUUCUUUUAUAUGGGAAUAAAGUGCAGUAUGUAUACUGCUUUGCAUGUACCUUAUGACUAAGGGUCGGCUAACUCCGUGCCAGCAGCCGCGGUAAUACGGAGGAUCCGAGCGUUAUCCGGAUUUAUUGGGUUUAAAGGGAGCGUAGGCGGGUUGUUAAGUCAGUUGUGAAAGUUUGCGGCUCAACCGGAAAAUUGCAGUUGAUACUGGCAGCCUUGAGUACAGUAGAGGUAGGCGGAAUUCGUGGUGUAGCGGUGAAAUGCUUAGAUAUCACGAAGAACUCCGAUUGCGAAGGCAGCCUGCUGGACUGUAACUGACGCUGAUGCUCGAAAGUGUGGGUAUCAAACAGGAUUAGAUACCCCUGUAGUC